UUAUACUGUGACUGGGGGGAGGGGAACCGCUUUGGGGUAAAUUUCAUCCUUGGUCACUGAAAGUCGACCAAAGAAGCUUCCCUGCAGUCCUUGUAGGCUUUGUAACCCAAUAUCGUACGUACACACAUACGGUUGGUUUCAACAUGCAAGACAGACUUAUUGCAAUAGAUACAUUUCGUCCAGACUAUUAUUUCAUACCUUAAUUCAUAGGAAGUGAUUAUGAUUCGGUAUUGCUAGUUUGUGACGCUGAUUAGAAGUGGGUUUGAAUUAAUCUUUGGCUAAAUCUGGCGGGUUUUUUUCUUUUUUACAUAAGCCGAUAUACGUAUAUAUUUGGACAUGUGGAAAAUAUACAUCACAUAUUUCUUGAUGAAAAGCAUACAACGUUAAAAUGUUAUUCCGCACCCAACGAGUUUUCUUUUCUUCGCCUUAUUCCGCUUAGCCUUGGCUUGACCUAAGUAGGGUGAAAAAUAGAUGUACAGAUGUCACAUGGGUCUGCCCGAUUGCGCGUACUGUUGGCUAAUUGCUACUGAUUCUUUUUUGGUAGCCUAUACGAUUACAACCCAUUCAAACCUUUAUAAACGAGGUUGUACGAUAUAUGCUGCACAAAAUUUGGAGGCCAUAAAAUCUAUGCUACAGUUGAUUUUACUGUUCUGAUAUAUCAUGGAGUGCUGUUAGUCUGCAGGCAGGUCAAAUCUUGCUUGACAGUGUGGAAUCCUCAAGUAAAGAUGUGAACUUGUAGUAGCUUGCCACACGUUGGUAGGCCAAUAAAGGAAUGCGAGGCUCUGGUAGGAAAGGAAACAACUAAGCGACAUGUAGAAAUGCACCAGCUAUUUUCACAAGCAUUAAUCAGUCAUCUUAAUUAUGUCUUCGGUUUUCAAACUUCAGACGUAUGAUUUCAAUUAGGAGUACAUUUUAAGUAGGACCGUAAAGUGUGUGGCGAUCUCUGCCUGGCUUUUAAAUUACUUUAAAAAGGUGUGUGCUUAUAUUUGGCUUAUUGGUGAAAUUUUAACAGAAAACUUGUUCUAUUAGUAUUUAUUAAAUGUUCUGUUCUUUGGCAGUUACUAGACGCGAACAAGGAGCACAGAACACAAGGAUCUGUCACGUCUGUUUUUCUCUUGUAGUCUUUUGAGUUUAAUAAGGGUCAAAGUGCGAAAUUUCUGUCACUGAAAUAUACUCCAAGAUAUUGUUUUUACAGAAUGUGGCGAAUGUGCGAAUUUAUACACUAAUUUAUUAUAAAAAACAGGGAGAUAUAGUAAACGUACAAGUUUAUUUUACUAAGUUAAAUGUAGGCCUGUGUAUUUGUAAUAUGUAUAUUUGGAUAAUUUUAACAAAUCAUAUACGUUUAAUGUGUAACCGCUGAAUGUGUGAUGAUUGUCAUAACUGUAAUAGGAUUUUUUUUCCUACAAAAAUAACAUGGUUAUCGAAAUCGAAUUAAAUUGGAAUUUAACGUUCAGUUCAGUUACUUUCCCAUUUAUGAAUGUUGAUUAUUUUUUAGGGUUUCAAGUGUCUCCGUGUAUCUAAACAUUUACAUAGUCUAGUUGCCGUUUGAGAUCAUGAAUAGUUAACACUACCUGCGGAAUCUAGUAUAAAAUGUAGCGUCUCUCUUUUAUUUUUUAAAUAUAGGCAUAUGUAAUUACUUUACUGCUUUUGUUUUUGCGCCCGUAACAUUUUUUGAAAGCCAGUAAAUGAAUUUGGCAUAUAUGGCCUAUGUUUAACACUUAAUUCUAUGUAAUGGGUUACUUGCUACUUAAGGUGGGAAUACUAAACAUGCAAAUAGUCCGUGUGUUAAUGACACACUUCGCCCGGGUUAAUACAGAAUUAGUAAACAUAUUAGUAUUGACAAAGGUCUUGUCUAACUCUCUGCCGCCUUUUGGUCGCUGACUUUGCUUACGUAUAUCUGGGGACGGCAGGCACUCUGUCUGCCAUUGCUGUGUGGAGCACAAGGGAUCUCUGUGGUAAAUAACAGAUCGAUGAGGAAUUCUUAAAUUAGUCAGGAAUCCGUGAAUUAGGGGAUUGUCUUGCCACUUCCAUUUCCUUUUAAUCACUAGGAAAGAGGAAGUCUCUCUCUCUCCCCCUCUUUCUCCCCCUGCAUGUGGAGAGAGAGAAGAGUGCAAUGAUGUUUGAGAGGACGGAGUACGCGUAUGAGAAACUAAAACGUACGAAGCCAGUAUUUUCGCAAUUUGUUUGUGCAACGCAUUGGAUUCGGAAUACCAGCAGGGCGACGCGGAGUCAGGAAUUCUCACGACGUCAGCAAGAGGGCCACGUGACGCCCGUGCUAAGACGUGUGCAAUUCCAUUGGAAACCUGCAUAAUUCCAAGCUUACAGGUAGGUAUUUUUGCCUCACGGUUCGUGUUCUUGCCAUGAUCAACGUGUGACAUCAACUGGAUUUUUGUAUUGGUUAAAAUCCUCAACGUUGCCUUACAGACGAGACCCUAUCAAUAUUGUCUCUGCUUUUUUGCUUAUUGAUGGAGUAGUGCAAUAUUGCUUAUAGGGUCUUGACUCUGAGGAAUUUUCAGCAAUUUCUUUGACGUUUGGAACUAAUGUAUUGCGUAGUUUUCGUAGACGACAAAAAUAAUUCUAUUUUUAAUUUUUUGGAGUUGGAGGGAUCUUCGCUACAUCUCACACCUUUUGGUUAGUUGAUUUGGUCGUGUCGCUUUCAUACGCAAUGCGUGAAUGACUUGGGCCCUUAUGUUGUAAAAUGAAGUGUCUCCUUUUUUGUAAACGACUUCGAUAGAAACUGAUCAUACAAAAUCUUUAUUUGCACUGUGGGGCAAGCCAUUCGGAAUGUGUGUGUGUAUAACUAAACUUGCCUUCUCAGGUGACGCCGAAGACGACAAAUGUAUUCUUCACAACGGAUUAUUAAACUGAAUAAUGAAAUGCAGAGUUUUAGUCUCCGAGAUGGUGGCCCCUGCGCCCUGGAACUAGGUGGUCCCAAAACUAUUUGAAUGGCGGCCAGUGUGUGUCCUCUGUACUUAGCGCUAUUGCGAGAAAGCCAAAGAAAAUGGCAUUGUCUUAGUGCUAAGGGCUCUGGUUCUGUUUAAUGCAUUAAUGCCAUUAAAUGAUAUCCACAUUGCAGUAUAACACGUCUAACCUACAGUUUAGUGUAGAACGAUAUUUAGUACAGUAUGUUAGUCUGGCGAUAUUCUGGUACUUGAUUUGUUCGAACUUU